UACGUGGGGGGCAAGCGUUGUUCGGAAUUACUGGGCGUAAAGGGUGCGUAGGCGGCUUUCUAAGUUGGAUGUGAAAACUAUGGGCUCAACCCAUAGCCUGCAUCCGAAACUGGAGAGCUUGGGUUCUGGAGGGGAAAGCGGAAUUCCUGGUGUAGCGGUGAAAUGCGUAGAUAUCAGGAGGAACACCGAUGGCGAAGGCAGCACUCUGGGACGUGACUGACGCUGAGGAGCGAAAGCGUGGGGAGCGAACAGG
rnacentral:rRNA from 1 species